AACGGCACAGGUGAAGGAAUCCCAUGCCAACCCAUCCUCCUGCCUUACCGUGUGGACCAGACCAGAGCUCCUGUUCCGGUGACGCGCUCUCUUUCCCUCGCCCUCAUUCCUAUCCAGUCGCCUAGCCCUCCCCCCCUCCCUCUCUUCUCGUCUGUGCGGUGGUUAUCGUCGGCAAACGCGCUCCCCGACCGAAGAGACGGCCGGAGCGCUCGUCCUCUUCCACGCUGGCGGCCAAACCACCCGGAUCCAGCUUCAUCUUCCACUCCGGCAGCCGAAUCACCUCGAGUUUGCGGAACACCGGAUCUGCUCAGGAGUAGGGUUUCAUUGAGACUUUGAGAGCUACCUGCCAAUUGAGAGGCAUAUGCAAGUAAGGUUUACACCUGGGUGAUUUUGAUCAAUUUGGCAAACCUAUGUACAAAGCUGGUGCAUAUCGGAGGGCCACAGGUGUACAACCCGCCCCCAAAGUGGUGAUUUGCCGAAGGCUCCAAGGAAAUUGCCGAAAUGCACGAACUGUGGGGUGGUUGGACAUCGUCGCAAUGCGUGUGGCACUAAGAAGAGCAGGCCGUUUGAGCCAAACUUCCUCUAGUUACAAUCUUCAUCGCAGUGAUGGUUUAUGUAGUCGGCUUUGCAAUAUUUGUGGCAACUAUUUCUAUUUUAUGAUGCACAUGUUUCAUUUGCUGCC